GGGUUGUGAGGUUAAGCGACUAAGCGUACACGGUGGAUGCCCUGGCAGUCAGAGGCGAUGAAGGACGUGCUAAUCUGCGAAAAGCGCCGGCGAGGUGAUAUGAACCUUUGACCCGGCGAUGUCCGAAUGGGGAAACCCAGUGCAAUCCGUUGCACUAUCGUUAACUGAAUACAUAGGUUAACGAGGCGAACCGGGGGAACUGAAACAUCUAAGUACCCCGAGGAAAAGAAAUCAACCGAGAUUCCCCCAGUAGCGGCGAGCGAACGGGGAGCAGCCCGGAGUCUGAAUCAGCUUGUGUGUUAGUGGAACGGUCUGGAAAGUCCGACGGUACAGGGUGAUAGUCCCGUACACGAAAGCACACAUGCUGUGAACUCGAAGAGUAGGGCGGGACACGUGGUAUCCUGUCUGAAUAUGGGGGGACCAUCCUCCAAGGCUAAAUACUCCUGACUGACCGAUAGUGAACCAGUACCGUGAGGGAAAGGCGAAAAGAACCCCGGCGAGGGGAGUGAAAAAGAACCUGAAACCGUGUACGUACAAGCAGUGGGAGCCUCUUUAUGGGGUGACUGCGUACCUUUUGUAUAAUGGGUCAGCGACUUAUAUUCUGUAGCAAGGUUAACCGUAUAGGGGAGCCGAAGGGAAACCGAGUCUUAACUGGGCGUUAAGUUGCAGGGUAUAGACCCGAAACCCGGUGAUCUAGCCAUGGGCAGGUUGAAGGUUGGGUAACACUAACUGGAGGACCGAACCGACUAAUGUUGAAAAAUUAGCGGAUGACCUGUGGCUGGGGGUGAAAGGCCAAUCAAACCGGGAGAUAGCUGGUUCUCCCCGAAAGCUAUUUAGGUAGCGCCUCGUGAACUCAUCUUCGGGGGUAGAGCACUGUUUCGGCUAGGGGGCCAUCCCGGCUUACCAACCCGAUGCAAACUACGAAUACCGAAGAAUGUUAUCACGGGAGACACACGGCGGGUGCUAACGUCCGUCGUGAAGAGGGAAACAACCCAGACCGCCAGCUAAGGUCCCAAAGUCAUGGUUAAGUGGGAAACGAUGUGGGAAGGCACAGACAGCCAGGAUGUUGGCUUAGAAGCAGCCAUCAUUUAAAGAAAGCGUAAUAGCUCACUGGUCGAGUCGGCCUGCGCGGAAGAUGUAACGGGGCUAAACCAUGCACCGAAGCUGCGGCAGCGACGCUUAUGCGUUGUUGGGUAGGGGAGCGUUCUGUAAGCCGUUGAAGGUGUCCUGUGAGGGGUGCUGGAGGUAUCAGAAGUGCGAAUGCUGACAUAAGUAACGAUAAAGCGGGUGAAAAGCCCGCUCGCCGGAAGACCAAGGGUUCCUGUCCAACGUUAAUCGGGGCAGGGUGAGUCGACCCCUAAGGCGAGGCCGAAAGGCGUAGUCGAUGGGAAACAGGUUAAUAUUCCUGUACUUGGUGUUACUGCGAAGGGGGGACGGAGAAGGCUAUGUCAGCCGGGCGACGGUUGUCCCGGUUUAAGCAUGUAGGCGGAGGUUCCAGGUAAAUCCGGUACCUUGUUAACGCUGAGGUGUGAUGACGAGGCACUACGGUGCUGAAGUGAUAAAUGCCCUGCUUCCAGGAAAAGCCUCUAAGCAUCAGGUAACACGAAAUCGUACCCCAAACCGACACAGGUGGUCAGGUAGAGAAUACCAAGGCGCUUGAGAGAACUCGGGUGAAGGAACUAGGCAAAAUGGUGCCGUAACUUCGGGAGAAGGCACGCUGAUGUGUAGGUGAAGUCCCUGCGGACGGAGCUGAAAUCAGUCGAAGAUACCAGCUGGCUGCAACUGUUUAUUAAAAACACAGCACUGUGCAAACACGAAAGUGGACGUAUACGGUGUGACGCCUGCCCGGUGCCGGAAGGUUAAUUGAUGGGGUUAGCGGCAACGCGAAGCUCUUGAUCGAAGCCCCGGUAAACGGCGGCCGUAACUAUAACGGUCCUAAGGUAGCGAAAUUCCUUGUCGGGUAAGUUCCGACCUGCACGAAUGGCGUAAUGAUGGCCAGGCUGUCUCCACCCGAGACUCAGUGAAAUUGAACUCGCUGUGAAGAUGCAGUGUACCCGCGGCAAGACGGAAAGACCCCGUGAACCUUUACUAUAGCUUGACACUGAACACUGGUCCUUGAUGUGUAGGAUAGGUGGGAGGCUUUGAAGCGUGGACGCCAGUCUGCGUGGAGCCAACCUUGAAAUACCACCCUUUAAUGGCUGGUGUUCUAACGUAGACCCGUAAUCCGGGUUGCGGACAGUGUCUGGUGGGUAGUUUGACUGGGGCGGUCUCCUCCCAAAGAGUAACGGAGGAGCACGAAGGUUGGCUAAUCCUGGUCGGACAUCAGGAGGUUAGUGCAAUGGCAUAAGCCAGCUUGACUGCGAGCGUGACGGCGCGAGCAGGUGCGAAAGCAGGUCAUAGUGAUCCGGUGGUUCUGAAUGGAAGGGCCAUCGCUCAACGGAUAAAAGGUACUCCGGGGAUAACAGGCUGAUACCGCCCAAGAGUUCAUAUCGACGGCGGUGUUUGGCACCUCGAUGUCGGCUCAUCACAUCCUGGGGCUGAAGUAGGUCCCAAGGGUAUGGCUGUUCGCCAUUUAAAGUGGUACGCGAGCUGGGUUUAGAACGUCGUGAGACAGUUCGGUCCCUAUCUGCCGUGGGCGCUGGAGAAUUGAGGGGGGCUGCUCCUAGUACGAGAGGACCGGAGUGGACGCAUCACUGGUGUUCGGGUUGUCAUGCCAAUGGCACUGCCCGGUAGCUAAAUGCGGAAGAGAUAAGUGCUGAAAGCAUCUAAGCACGAAACUUGCCCCGAGAUGAGUUCUCCCUGAGACCUUGAGUCUCCUGAAGGAACGUUGAAGACGACGACGUUGAUAGGUCGGGUGUGUAAGCGCAGCGAUGCGUUGAGCUAACCGAUACUAAUGAACCGUGAGGCUUAACCUUACAACGCCGAAGCUGUU
rnacentral:rRNA from 1 species